CAGAACACAACCGCCGCCCCAGGGCUUCCGCCUACCUGCUCUCGGUUGGACGAGCAAGACUCCUCCUCUGACUCCGGUUCGCUCCGAAUAUCCGCCAAGGUCUGGAGCCCCUAAGGGACUGCCAGCGCCUGGGCCCGGCAAACUCCCGCCAGUAGAUGUCUAGCAUCUCCGCUGCUUAACUUCUGCUGUACCCAGCACCUCCCAAAGACGGACAGCACCUUCCCUCAGUGUCCCCUGUGGUUGCCAGCACAUAGGAGGUGCUCUGAGUGGACACGAAAAGACCCACCUGGUCCUGUUUGCAAACAUUUAUGAUUUGGAAAGGCAAAGUGAAAGAGAGAUCUUCCACUCCUUGGUUCUCGCCCCGAAUUGCCACAACAGCCACUAGGCGGACACCAAGAGCCCAGAACUCUGUCUGGGUCUCCCACACCAGUGACAGCGGCCCAAGGACCCAGGCCGUCAUCUGCUGAGUUCUCAGAUGCAUUAGCAGGGAGCUGCAUCAGAAGCAGAGCAGCCAGGAGUCAGAGCAGUGCUCUGACGUGGGAUGCCAGCGUCCGUUGCUGCCCCACAGUACCAGCUCUAGGUGCUGGGAAUUCUGGGUGCUGGGAAUUCGGUGGACUUAUUUAAUAAUAACAACAACAAUAAUAACAACGGUGAGUAUUUCUCAAGUGCUUAAUGUGCGCCAGGCACUAUGCAAAAAAUUCUACACAGGUCACCUUGUGGAACCACCUCACAGUCCUGAGGUAGCUAUUAUAACCAUGCAGGAGUGAAAACUGAAGCACAGAUAGGCUAAGCGAUUUGCCCAAGACGACACAGUGAGAAGUGGUGGAACGGGCUGUCAGGUUCUAGCCGGCGCUCUCCCCGCUGCACUGAGGAUUGGGUGGGAGGGAAGCUGCAGCGCAAGCCCCCUGCGGACAAGGCCUCGUCUGCGUUGGCUCAGCGCUGCCAGUGCACCCACUCGGCAUGCAUUCACAGAAUGCAUUCGUUCAUAGACGAGAGAUGCUGAUCCUGCUUUGGUUGGGAGUGUGGGGCGGCCAGUGGUUGCCUUGCACAGCCAAGCCUGAGCCUGGGUCUGUGAGGCCCUUCUCCCUCAUUGCUAUUCUCAGAUUUCCACCCUCUGCUGGUUCCUGAAACCUCAGGCCUUGGCCUUGGCCGUGCUCCCCCGUCAUGUGGCUCCUGCGUCCCUUUCUUCUCCUUCAAAGGAGACAGGGCUUGGUCCACAUGAGAAAGACAUGGAAAAAUUCAAUGCAGACCUCAGACACAGUGGCACUUUCUUUCUCAAAAAAAAAAAAAAAAAAAAAGCUUGGAUUUCAGAAGCUGCCAUAACACACUUCCAAACAUCCUUUGCCACUUAUCCAGCUUCCUAGUCUCUCCCAUGGAGUAGAGAUCAGUAGCAUCUACCCCACCGGGUUGUGAGUCGGCAGUACAAAGUGUCUGCCACCCAGGAAACACUCGGCAUGAGAGUCCCUGUCCUCCUGCCGCCUGGUAAACACAGCCUGCCAGCCCGCGGGCCACAAAUUCCAGAGCAGUGGGGCGGGCGCUUGGCACAUACUUGGGUCCCUGCCACUCACGUGGGAGACCCAGACUGGAUUCCUGGCUCCUGGCUUUAGCCUGACCGAGCGCUGGCUGUUGUGGGCAUUUGGGAAGUCAACCAGCAGAAGAUUCUCUGUCUCUCUCUCUCUCUCUGUCUUUCAAAAUGAAUUAAAUAAAGGAAAAAAGAAAAGCAAGGACAGCUCACGUAUUUGGGGGUUCAAAGAACCUUGGGUAACCUUCACCCUCCUCCUGCACCAAACCCGACAGUGAGGUGUACCCAGGUAUAAAAUAACAGGCCACUGUAACUGCUUAGGCUAAAGGGAAGGCCGGGAGGCCGAUGCUUCAGAGCUGGACGGCUGGCUUCCCCCCUGCCCAUGUCCUGAUGCACACGUUGCAUGUUCCUUGUCUCAGCUUCCUGUGCAGAGCCGCCGACCUAACCAGGUAUCACCCACCACACCCCCUGCGGACCUCAAAGGCCACCCUGGGUCUGGCGACAGGCCUUGGCCCUAACACCUGAGCCCCGCGGCUCCUUGGCGAUUUCGACACCCCAGCAUCCGCUUCCCUGGAGCCUUGUUUAAUCCCCCUUCCCCCCACCAACACCCUCAGUUACGAGGUGGUCGACCUGAAGACCUGGAGACCUGGCACCCUCCCGGCUGUCAGUGGAUGAAAGUUCCCUUUCCCUCAUCCCAAACCCUGUCCUCGUUUUUGUGAUUGGCAGCGGGACAGGGACGGAACUCCCGGUAACAGAAAUACCUUCCCCAUCGCCCAAAAUGUCUGUCAGUGCUGUUUGCUAUUCCAGAGUUGAGGACUAAACGGAUUCCUUUGAAGGAUAA